CAGAACGAUCAAACACCCAUGAGAAAAGGGGUAACAAUUUGUAGACUUUAAUCACAUCAGGGGAAGCUGGGAUUUUGUUGCAAACAUGGUGACAUACGUGUUGAAUAGAUAAGCAGUCAAUCAAUAAGGAGGGAAUACGAAUUCAUCGAUAUUACUUUGAAGGGGCAGACUGAAGAUUGUUAUCGAAAAUACCCUGUGUAAGAGCCCCAACAAAUCUAUCCCUGAAUCAAGUCACUCCGAGUUCUCUUUAAGCACUUAAACGACUCUUUUCUCACACCACAAACUAUCUCAUUUUUCUACUUUUCUAUAAAAAAUCUAAGCCCGGUGUGUUGAGCAGAGCAGCCCUCGGAUUCCUUCACAUGUGUCUGCACUGUGUGCUCAGCCUUGUGUGCACACUCAGAUCACAUCGCUCUGUUCUGAAUCUUCCCCCCAGAUUGUCCAAACAAGCCUGAGCAGACUGGCAGGCGCCAGCGCGCUGACGUCACCCAUUCAUCCGAGCCUUGACGCCUGUCAGCCUGGCGCCGCUCGGGCGGUCACCAUGGAGACGUCAAACAAGAGAGCUCACACUCCGCACUCUUCCAUUCACCUGCGUAGCGCGCGGAGGCUGAGAACAAACCGGCUCCGGAGCUUUUGUCGUUCAUUUAUCACCUUUAAGCAGCGGGAUGAGAUUACCGCCCCGCGCACCUGCAGAGCCCCCGCUGUCAGCCGGUUAACAGAGGGACGGAGGAGGAGGAGGAGGAGGAGAAGGAGGAGGGGGCAGGCUUUAGGAUGUUGGAGCAUUUUAACACAAAACAACUGUUGCAUUCCGACGCAGAGCACACUUUCACUUUAUCCUCGCAAUUAAAAUAAAAGUCUCUUUAAAAAAAAAUCCAUUGUUAUUGUUUAUCAGCAGAUUUCUCCAGUAACACACUAUUGAUGACAAAUAGGUUUAUCAUUUUAAAAAGGUUCAAGUGACAUCAGGCAUCAAAUUUAUUCAAGAAAGACAAAAAGAAAUGAAUUAUUUUAGUAAUACAGAUCACUUUCUCAAUGCAUCACUGUUGCAUUAAUUAUUAUUUACUUUAAAACACUCAGACACAAGUUGACUGUGCUCAUGCAUUCAAAGCCUGAUUUUGUAAAGGGCAAAUGCGUUAACAUUAACUUGAAAUAUGAACUGUAGAAAAGCAUCCCUAUAAAUGUCUUUGGUUGUAUGUAAUUCAUUUAAAUUGUUUCUAACAUCUAUUUAACUGAUGCACUCUGAAUCUUUUCUUUUCUUAAUACUGGUGCAGAUUUGAAUCCAUUGCACAGGUGCAGUCGGUUUAUCUUGGACAGAAAUUCUCAGUAUGCAAAUUGGUGACUAGAGAUUAAAAGAAAAUCAUAAUUUUCAUCCUCUGAAAUUUAAAUGCAAAGGUUAUCUGCAGCAAAAAUACUGCAAUGCAUCAAGCCUGUGUAAAAAAAAAAUACUUAAAUAAUGAUGUAUCUGGUAAUAUAACAAAACAGUGGACUGCAUCAUAAAUUUUAUAUCUUUUAUCAUCUGCAGUGUUUCAGAAUCAGAAUGUCCUUUAUUGUCAUCAUACUAAAAGUACAACAUUGGAGAGCUUCUCCUUUUCCAGUGCAAUAGACAAGUAAAAGUAAAGUAGUAAAAGUACAAAUAUUUGUAAGAAAGAAGGUACUAUAUAGACAAGACAAGAAUUCUACAAACAGUAAAAUAAAAACGUUUGUAUGUUUAGAUAUUCUACAUUAUUUAUAACCAUUUUGGUUGAAGAUAACAUUUUUUUAAUAUCCUAAUAAUUGCUAAUCUGACAUAUUGCAUACUUGUUACAUCCACUGCAACAUGAAUUGGCAUUGUCAUAAAGUAAUUAAAACCUGCUUUUGCUCCAUGGAUUUUAAUAUGAAUGCUAUUUAAAGACCCACUGCUUUUAUGUGCACAGAUGGUAUACCAGACCAGAGAUAACAUAUUGCUGUGCUCUCUUGUAACAAAGUUAACUACCACCAGGACUGUUUCUUCGAGCUGUUGCAGUAGCCUGUAAAAACUUUUUAAAAAAAACUUUCUUUUUUGUCUUUUUCCUUUUUUUUGCCCUCUGUCCUAGGUCGCAGCUGACGGGGCGGAGGGAGGGCCGGGUGGGCAGAACAAUGGGAGUGCGGUGCAGGGAUUGUGGGAGAGAAUCUAGGCUGGAGCCACAGUGUCUGGAGCGCCCCUCCACUCCCCUCAUCCAGCUUUUGUUCAGCUGCAAAAGCUAUCAGCACUUCCUACUGACACCAACAAUAACUCCACACAGCUGGGCCCUUUUUAGCCUGUUUACAGCACAUCAAGGCAAGGGGAGAGAGAAGACAGAGGGAAGAGGCAGAGGAGGGGAGAGAAAAGUGAAACAUAUUAGCUCCUGAUUUUAACUGACAGAACAGCAGUGCCCUCUCCUAACUCCCCUUCACUUCUCCUUCAUUGCUGACACAGACUUCAUGUCCCUGUGGACUCUUGACAUAAGAGUGCAUUAUCACUUCCCAUUGUACUUCUAAGACUAGCUACUGUUUAUUACAGCGCUGUUGCAACUUUUUUGCAUUCAACUAACAGCCAAAAGGCUUCUUGAGUCUUAAAUUGCUUUGGGACAUUUUGUAUCUUUGCUAAAUUUGCACAUGUACACAAACCUUUUCCCAAGAGCAGAAAAAAAGGUUCCAUUCGGUACAAGGAAAACAUGCUCGCUAAUACGCCCUCUUAAUCGCCCCAGCAAAUAUAUCUACAAAAGCACAGUACAGGAAAAGACAAAGGGAAAAGUUGGUGCGUGUAUCCACUUUGAGGAAAUAGGACAUUCCAGCAAUGCCUUCACACUUUUGCUGAUGUUAUUAUUACUGUGGGGACAAUAACUAGUGUGUGUACUACUUCCUGAAACAUGAAAGUGACCAGAGCACAAUAAUGGAGAGGGAGGACCAAAUGCCUUCUUAGAACGAGGGAUUUAACUUCAGUACAAUUACUGAGAUAGCGUCUUGAAAAGAAAUGUCAAGGAAUUUUAUUAUGAGAGGUUAGCAAAAGAAGUAAGUUUUCAACAAUUUUUACUCACACACAAACACACACGUUCACACACAAACGCCGUCCCCGCGCAGCUGUGGGAUUAGUUUCCAGUUCCCAGCCUCACUCUUCCUGUUUGCUUGAUAAUGAUCACACCUGUGUGCAGGUGUGUGGAGAGGCUCUUAUGGGACUGGGAGGGGUGAGUUUGGUGUUGGCUACAGAAACGUUUUACCACAACACAGUGUCACGUCAUCUUUCACCAGCUGAGUGAUGAUUGACUGGUGCCACCCAGGACUCAUCAGUCUCCCACAGAGGUGGAGGGAAUUCGAGCUGAAUCUGAGGGUUUGUCGCUCUAUCUCUCUUCUUAUGUGGAUGUGUGUUGUGUAUGUUUCUGCCUAGAUUCCUGGUGUGUCCCAGCAUGGCCCUGGCACCUCCCUGGGCAGUCCUGCCCCUGUAAUGACUGAGGGCCCGUGGUUGGGAGUCACUUCCUGUGGGAGUCCUGGUUCAGAGAUGUGUCAUCAACAGGGCAGACCGGCUGGAGCCUCACUGCCUGUUGGUGUUUUUCCUGUGUGCAGACGGCUGCAGACUGGGUGGGUAGAUGGAUGCCCUUCUCUGAAAGAGAGCCAGGAGUGGGUUUCAGGAACACUAUCUCCAUCUGAUAGCUAUGUGCGGGAAACCUCACAGAGAUCCUUGAAGCUCCGCAGGUGUCCUCUGCUCCAUGUCCUUGGCCCAGGAGGGCUCACAGGGACAGCUUGGUCUCUAUCUCUUUCUCUCACUUGUGUACAUGUGUGUGAGUGUGUGCAUUCACCGGACCCAAAGCCCACCCCUCCUUUACACCCCUGUGGCUAUCUCCCUCUGCCUGGUUCCCACACACACUAUCAAAGCCCUUUAAUGGCUUCUAAUUAGCUCCCCAUCUGCUGGUGACAGCGCACUGGUGGCAUGCUAAAGCACCCAUUGAGAGCAUAGGCAUUGUGCUCUGGAAUACUUUCCACUCCAGUGGCAAUUGCCUGGAGAGAGAGCUUUAGUUGGGAGUGCGGGGGUUGCUGGGGUGGGGCUGGGUGAGGAGGGGGUGAGAAGGAGAAAAAGGAGGAGGAAGGGAUGCUGGUUAAGGUUCUCUACACUCAGGGGCUAGGGGGAGGACAGGGGUGGAGGGAUACACAAUGGGAGACAGUGUUACGGCUUGUUGCAAAUCUAAUAACGCCAAGGUCUCUUUUCCGUCCACUGGUCAUCAGCCCACUUCCCCCCACCCCACUAGACCAUCACCACCAACAUGGGCAACUAUUUUACGUCCUACCUCAACCGUCCCCCGGCUUCUUUUGAUUUAGCAUCAGUUUGCAGCUAAACCUUGCAGGGCAAGAAAAAGUCUGACUCCAUGUCAAGACUUUUGUCAAACUGGCAACACAAUCUUAGGUGCUCCAUUGUCCUGAGAAGCCCUGUGGUUACUGUUCCUUUCUUGGACUGAACAAUGGAUGCACCUCUAUAGAAACUGUAAAUGUAGCUUAAUGAGGCCUCUUGAUUAGUAGAAACUGUCGAUGUGUGAAUGUGGCCUGUUCGUCAGAUCCUAUGAGGCCUUGUCUUUUCCGGGACUUCCAGCAGAGCAUCGGUCUGCUGGUAGCAGAAGGAGGGACCAGCUGUUCCCAGCUGGUAGCCAGAGGAUGCUGCCGGGGGACUGGCCUGGGGGCCAGCUGCCCUCUGCUUUUAGGAGGGAAAGAAGAACGAAUAUAUAACUGCUCCAAGGAGACCAUCAGAUCACCUUUAGUGUGACAAAUCAAACAUAGUAAGAUUAACUUAAGACAGUUUUGACCAUCUUGAUCAUUGAUUGAUGAAAUUAUGAUUGUUUUAUUCAAAUGUUCAAAAAUGAUCAUUAGGAAAAAAUACCAGUUUUACCCUGAAAGUGACAAUUGACAAGUGCUUUGAAACAAAAAGGCAAUAGCUUAAUUUUGAGUGUGUUUUCUAAAAUACAUAUUAGAUCACAGCAAAAUAUUUCUAACCAUUGACUUUCUAACAGGGAACCAAACAAACAUACCAACAAGAGCUUUGCCUGAUUUAUUUCUAAGUUUUGACUCUAUGACAACUGAGUGCCCUGCUUAGAAAUGACAUGACCCAUUAUAAAGCCACAUAUUUGUCUCUUUGUGUGUGUGUGUGUGUGUGUG